UUGUUGGUUUUCUUUUUUGUUGUUGUUUCCUCUCGAUAGCCCUUUGCUGGUUUGAAUUAUUUUGGGGGGGAUGUUGGGGGAGUGGGUCCAUUUUUCAAUGUAUGCUUUCUGGGUCUACUUUUUUUGAUUAUAUAUAUUUUAUUUUUUUUUUUUUUCCUCUCCCUCUCUCACUUUGCUGUAGAUUGCUACUUUUUUGCAUUCCUGCAGGAUAUGUUGCUAGGUCGACUUCAUCUAGUAAACUGAAAAUUAUUGCUUAAAAUCAAACCGCAGUCUGUCUUUUUAUAUUAAGGACUUUUUUUUCUUCUUCUUUUUUUUUUUUUUUUUUUUUUAAAAAAAAAAGAAAAGUUCUGUUAAUCUGUAACUAAACAGCGACUCGGUCUGGCUCCACGGCUCAGGCUAACGAGGGGAAUUCUUGCCUGCGGUGGCAGAGAGUGGGAAUUCCACUGUUAACGUGUGUUUCGAAGUGCACAUCGGGCGCCGGGAAGUGUUAAGAACUGCUUUUGGAGUGUCAGCUGGGGAGCUCUGCCCCAUCAUACAUCAUGCAUGAGGAGGGGAUGCAAAGCAGCUCCCCGCACCACACAGCGAGCGAGACAGGAACGAUGUCCGUAGUUCCAGGCUGUAGCUGAACCUCCACCACGAGGUAGUGGCUCACAGGCAGGAUAAAGUGGGAACCCUGUACGAAACCCGGUGAUUUCCAAACCCAUCUGGAGUCCCAAGCGCGUCGAUUUGUGUCCGUGUGAGUUCUGUGGAGUAAGUUCUGAGUGGCGUCAAAAUCGUGUCCGACCAGUGACUUGAGUUUGUGGCCUGUGACCCCCCCUGACUGGAGUAACCAGGAAUUCUGUGUUCUCAAUAUGGCUGUAGUGUUGGUAAAGAACUACUAAGCAGAAAAAUAAAGCAAUUACACAGCGGA